UUUGAACAAGGAGCCUGCAUUUUCUACAUAUUGUCAGUGUAUCUUUUGAUAAUAAAGCUUUUACCAAGGAAAGGCUGUUAGUUUAGACCAGAAUCGUGUUUUGUAGUUGACCAGGAUAUGCAUAAAGGUAACUUUCAGGGUACCAACACUAAAUAAUGUACUAUUCGAAGUUUAUACAAAAAUUUUAUUUUUGAGUAUGGUAUCUUUAUCAAUUUCCAAAUUAGAUUUCAUAUUAAAAAAUAUGAGGCAAAGAAUUAGGAAAUGUAAAAAAUUAUAGUUGAACAUAUUUCGAACAAAAUUGAUGUUGAAUAGAUUUGGACAUUUUAUACAUAUUUAACAUCUGUGUUCUUUCUCAUAGCUAUGUUCAGAAUCCUAAACUUAUUAUACAGUAUGUCUGUGUAAUUUAGGCAUCAGUACUUAGGUAGCUCAGAACAUUCUUUUGUAUAAAGUGACCAAAAUUAGGCACUGUAAUGUAAGUACAAGAUAACGUCUUUCUGCACAAACAUUUACAGUACAACAUCAAACCUGCCAAUGCCGGAUACACCAUCUUCGAGUGAUGUUGAUGUUACAUUGGAAGCGGUAUCAGCAGAUGAAACAGACCAAUUUCAACCACCUGUGGCAAAAAAGCG